rnacentral:rRNA from 1 species
AGCUCCAAUAGCGUAUAUUAAAGUUGUUGCAGUUAAAAAGCUCGUAGUUGGAUUUCUGUUGAAAGCAACCGGUCCGCUCUCAGAGUGUGUACUUGGUUUGAUUUCAGCAUACUUCUGGAAAACGCUUCUGCACUUAACUGUGUGGAGCGGUAUCCAGGACUUUUACUUUGAGAAAAUUAGAGUGUUUCAAGCAGGCUACUGCCAUGAAUACUGCAGCAUGGAAUAAUAAUAUAGGACUUUGGUUCUAUUUUGUUGGUUUCUAGGACUGAAGUAAUGAUUAAUAGGGACAGUUGGGGGCAUUCGUAUUUGACUGUCAGAGGUGAAAUUCUUAGAUUUGUCAAAGACGGACUACUGCGAAAGCAUUUGCCAAGGAUGUUUUCAUUAAUCAAGAACGAAAGUA